GCGCCCGUAGCUCAGCAGGAUAGAGCAGCGGUUUCCUAAACCGCAGGUCGGAGGUUCGAAUCCCCCCGGGCGCG
rnacentral:tRNA from 1 species